rnacentral:rRNA from 1 species
CCUACGGGAGGCAGCAGUGGGGAAUAUUGGACAAUGGGCGAAAGCCUGAUCCAGCAAUGCCGCGUGAGUGAUGAAGGCCUUAGGGUCGUAAAGCUCUUUUACCCGGGAUGAUAAUGACAGUACCGGGAGAAUAAGCCCCGGCUAACUCCGUGCCAGCAGCCGCGGUAAUACGGAGGGGGCUAGCGUUGUUCGGAAUUACUGGGCGUAAAGCGUGCGUAGGCGGUUAUUCAAGUCAGAGGUGAAAGCCCGGGGCUCAACCCCGGAACGGCCUUUGAAACUAGGUAGCUAGAAUCUUGGAGAGGUCAGUGGAAUUCCGAGUGUAGAGGUGAAAUUCGUAGAUAUUCGGAAGAACACCAGUGGCGAAGGCGACUGACUGGACAAGUAUUGACGCUGAGGCACGAAAGCGUGGGGAGCAAACAGGAUUAGAUACCCUGGUAGUCCACGCCGUAAACGAUGAUAACUAGCUGUUCGGGUACUUGGUAUCUGAGUGGCGCAGCUAACGCAUUAAGUUAUCCGCCUGGGGAGUACGGUCGCAAGAUUAAAACUCAAAGGAAUUGACGG